CCAGGCUCCGCCCGGGGCGUCAGGGCUGCAGCCCCGGGAAGCAAAGUCCCUGAAAAAGCAGCUCGCCUUGCAGAAUCUUCCACAGCGUGUGCGCACGGAAUCGGAGCAGUAAAUAAUUGGCUCCACGGAGAAGACAUGUAGAAAGAGUCGGUGAUGGACAUUCAAAAGUCUGCCCAGGGUUGGGCUGUUACAAAGAGUUCUUCUGGAGAAGGCUUCACUCAGAAACGUUACCACCCUUGACACAUCGCCACAGCGGUUUUCAUCCAAAUAGGGGGUUGCUUCAGACUUGAUUCAUGCAGAAGACAUUGGAAGACUUGAAACAGUCCUUGGAGUUAAGAAACAAGAAUAUUCGAAGCAGAGUAUCAUCCACAGACUGUAAUCAGCGAAGACAAAUUUUCUUCGUGGACUCUUUGAGGAGCCGCCCUUGG